rnacentral:rRNA from 1 species
ACGAACGCUGGCGGCAUGCCUAACACCUGCAAGUCGCACGAGACCUUCGGGUCUAGUGGCGCACGGGUGCGUAACGCGUGGGAAUCUGCCCUUGGGUUCGGAAUAACAGUGAGAAAUUACUGCUAAUACCGGAUGAUGUCUUCGGACCAAAGAUUUAUCGCCCAGGGAUGAGCCCGCGUAGGAUUAGCUAGUUGGUGGGGUAAUGGCCUACCAAGGCGACGAUCCUUAGCUGGUCUGAGAGGAUGAUCAGCCACACUGGGACUGAGACACGGCCCAGACUCCUACGGGAGGCAGCAGUGGGGAAUAUUGGACAAUGGGCGCAAGCCUGAUCCAGCAAUGCCGCGUGAGUGAUGAAGGCCUUAGGGUUGUAAAGCUCUUUUACCCGGGAUGAUAAUGACAGUACCGGGAGAAUAAGCUCCGGCUAACUCCGUG